UUGAAAGGGAAACGAUUGAAGUCAGUCGUACUUGCGGGCAAUCAGCCUUUUGGGUGUGAUUAUGUGGAGCGUGAGGAGCUAAUCGCCUUCAUCUUUGCAUAUUCGUGCACUUUGGGUGUACUUGCUCGUGUGGUAGGUUAACAUCAAUUUUGAUCAUCAUAAAAUGAUUGAAGGAAUGUAGCUUCGAUCACGUAUUGAAGUGUUAUAGCCUUUGGUAGAUGUGAUGAUCGGGAUUGAGGAUUGCAACGGAUACCCUUCGGGGCUACCUGUCUGAUCUCUGAAAGUUGCUCUGGUGCUGAAAGCUUGCUUAUGGUAUCAAAGUUGACGUUCAAUAGGUUAGAACGGGAUAAAUUCGUUAAGGAUGUUGACGUA
rnacentral:rRNA from 1 species